AAAUCAUGAUGAAGACACCUCUUCAAAAGCUCUCGAAAUCACUCCCAUGCCUCAAACAAGAAUUGUACUUCAUAUUAUUGGAAACAACAUAUCUUUGCCAUAAGCUU